UCCUACGGGAGGCAGCAGUGAGGAAUAUUGGUCAAUGGGCGGUAGCCUGAACCAGCCAAGUCGCGUGCGGGACGAAGGCCCUCCGGGUCGUAAACCGCUUUAGCCGGGGAGUAACGUGGGGGACGCGUCCCCCAGUGAGAGUACCCGGAGAAUAAGCAUCGGCUAACUCCGUGCCAGCAGCCGCGGUAAUACGGAGGAUGCGAGCGUUAUCCGGAUUUAUUGGGUUUAAAGGGUGCGCAGGCGGCGUGUCAAGUCAGCGGUCAAACUGCGGGGCUCAACCCCGUACCGCCGUUGAAACUGGCAUGCUCGAGUUCGUGCGAUGGUGGCGGAAUGCGCGGUGUAGCGGUGAAAUGCAUAGAUAUCGCGCAGAACUCCGAUUGCGAAGGCAGCUGCCAAGCACUGGACUGACGCUCAUGCACGAAAGCGUGGGUAUCGAACAGGAUUAGAUACCCUGGUAGUCC
rnacentral:rRNA from 1 species